rnacentral:rRNA from 1 species
UGGGGAAUAUUAGACAAUGGGCGAAAGCCUGAUCCAGCCAUGCCGCGUGUGUGAAGAAGGUCUUCGGAUUGUAAAGCACUUUAAGUUGGGAGGAAGGGCAGUAAGCGAAUACCUUGCUGUUUUGACGUUACCGACAGAAUAAGCACCGGCUAACUCUGUGCCAGCAGCCGCGGUAAUACAGAGGGUGCAAGCGUUAAUCGGAAUUACUGGGCGUAAAGCGCGCGUAGGUGGUUCGUUAAGUUGAAUGUGAAAGCCCCGGGCUCAACCUGGGAACUGCAUCCAAAACUGGCGAGCUAGAGUAGGGCAGAGGGUGGUGGAAUUUCCUGUGUAGCGGUGAAAUGCGUAGGUAUAGGAAGGAAAACCAGUGGCGAAGGCGACCACCUGGGCUCAUACUGACACUGAGGUGCGAAAGCGUGGGGAGCAAACAGG